UUGAAGAGUUUGAUCAUGGCUCAGAUUGAACGCUGGCGGCAGGCCUAACACAUGCAAGUCGAACGGUAGCACAGAGAGCUUGCUCUCGGGUGACGAGUGGCGGACGGGUGAGUAAUGUCUGGGAAACUGCCCGAUGGAGGGGGAUAACUACUGGAAACGGUAGCUAAUACCGCAUAACGUCGCAAGACCAAAGUGGGGGACCUUCGGGCCUCACACCAUCGGAUGUGCCCAGAUGGGAUUAGCUAGUAGGUGGGGUAACGGCUCACCUAGGCGACGAUCCCUAGCUGGUCUGAGAGGAUGACCAGCCACACUGGAACUGAGACACGGUCCAGACUCCUACGGGAGGCAGCAGUGGGGAAUAUUGCACAAUGGGCGCAAGCCUGAUGCAGCCAUGCCGCGUGUAUGAAGAAGGCCUUCGGGUUGUAAAGUACUUUCAGCGAGGAGGAAGGCGUUAAGGUUAAUAAACUUAGCGAUUGACGUUACUCGCAGAAGAAGCACCGGCUAACUCCGUGCCAGCAGCCGCGGUAAUACGGAGGGUGCAAGCGUUAAUCGGAAUUACUGGGCGUAAAGCGCACGCAGGCGGUUUGUUAAGUCAGAUGUGAAAUCCCCGGGCUCAACCUGGGAACUGCAUUUGAAACUGGCAAGCUUGAGUCUCGUAGAGGGGGGUAGAAUUCCAGGUGUAGCGGUGAAAUGCGUAGAGAUCUGGAGGAAUACCGGUGGCGAAGGCGGCCCCCUGGACGAAGACUGACGCUCAGGUGCGAAAGCGUGGGGAGCAAACAGGAUUAGAUACCCUGGUAGUCCACGCCGUAAACGAUGUCUAUUUGGAGGUUGUUCCCUUGAGGAGUGGCUUCCGGAGCUAACGCGUUAAAUAGACCGCCUGGGGAGUACGGCCGCAAGGUUAAAACUCAAAUGAAUUGACGGGGGCCCGCACAAGCGGUGGAGCAUGUGGUUUAAUUCGAUGCAACGCGAAGAACCUUACCUACUCUUGACAUCCAGAGAACUUAGCAGAGAUGCUUUGGUGCCUUCGGGAACUCUGAGACAGGUGCUGCAUGGCUGUCGUCAGCUCGUGUUGUGAAAUGUUGGGUUAAGUCCCGCAACGAGCGCAACCCUUAUCCUUUGUUGCCAGCGGUCCGGCCGGGAACUCAAAGGAGACUGCCAGUGAUAAACUGGAGGAAGGUGGGGAUGACGUCAAGUCAUCAUGGCCCUUACGAGUAGGGCUACACACGUGCUACAAUGGCAUAUACAAAGAGAAGCGACCUCGCGAGAGCAAGCGGACCUCAUAAAGUAUGUCGUAGUCCGGAUUGGAGUCUGCAACUCGACUCCAUGAAGUCGGAAUCGCUAGUAAUCGUAGAUCAGAAUGCUACGGUGAAUACGUUCCCGGGCCUUGUACACACCGCCCGUCACACCAUGGGAGUGGGUUGCAAAAGAAGUAGGUAGCUUAACCUUCGGGAGGGCGCUUACCACUUUGUGAUUCAUGACUGGGGUGAAGUCGUAACAAGGUAACCGUAGGGGAACCUGCGGUUGGAUCACCUCCUU
rnacentral:rRNA from 1 species